rnacentral:rRNA from 1 species
GAUGAACGCUGACAGAAUGCUUAACACAUGCAAGUCUACUUGAACUUCGGUUUGGGUGGCGGACGGGUGAGUAACGCGUAAAGAACUUGCCUCACAGAUAGGGACAACAUUUGGAAACGAAUGCUAAUACCUGAUAUUAUGAUUUUAGGGCAUCCUAGAAUUAUGAAAGCUAUAUGCACUGUGAGAGAGCUUUGCGUCCCAUUAGCUAGUUGGAGAGGUAACGGCUCACCAAGGCGAUGAUGGGUAGCCGGCCUGAGAGGGUGAUCGGCCACAAGGGGACUGAGACACGGCCCUUACUCCUACGGGAGGCAGCAGUGGGGAAUAUUGGACAAUGGACCAAGAGUUUGAUCCAGCAAUUCUGUGUGCACGAUGAAGUUUUUCGGAAUGUAAAGUGCUUUCAGUUGGGAAGAAAAAAAUGACGGUACCAACAGAAGAAGUGACGGCUAAAUACGUG